UACGGAGGGGGGCUAGCGUUGUUCGGAAUUACUGGGCGUAAAGCGCGCGUAGGCGGCUUUGUAAGUUAGAGGUGAAAGCCCGGAGCUCAACUCCGGAAUUGCCUUUAAGACUGCAUCGCUUUGAAUCAUGGAGAGGUGAGUGGAAUUCCGAGUGUAGAGGUGAAAUUCGUAGAUAUUCGGAAGGACACCAGUGGCGAAGGCGACUCACUGGACAUGUAUUGACGCUGAGGUACGAAAAGCGUGGGGGAGCAAACAGG
rnacentral:rRNA from 1 species